rnacentral:tRNA from 5 species
GCCGGCUUAGCUCAUCAGGUAGAGCACAUGAUUUGUAAUCAUGGGGUGGCGGGUUCGAGUCCUGCAGCCGGCACCA